UACGGAGGAUGCAGGCGUUAUCCGGAUUUAUUAGGUUUAAAGGGUGCGUAGGCGGACCUAUAAGUCAGUGGUGAAAUGCUACAGCUUAACUGUAGAACUGCCAUUGAAACUGCAGGUCUUGAAUACAAUUGAGGUGGGCGGAAUGUGUAAUGUAGCGGUGAAAUGCUUAGAUAUUACACAGAACUCCAAUUGCGAAGGCAGCUCACUAAGUUGUUAUUGACGCUGAGGCACGAAAGCGUGGGGAGCAAACAGG
rnacentral:rRNA from 1 species